rnacentral:rRNA from 1 species
CACGUAGGGCGCGAGCGUUGUCCGGAGUCACUGGGCGUAAAGGGCGCGUAGGCGGCUCAUGAAGGCUGUGGUGAAAGUCCGGGGCUCAACCUCGGAUCGGCCGUGGCGACUCGUGGGCUGGAGCACUGUAGAGGCGGGUGGAAUUCCGGGUGUAGCGGUGGAAUGCGUAGAGAUCCGGAAGAACACCAGUGGCGAAGGCGGCCCGCUGGGCAGUGGCUGACGCUGAGGCGCGACAGCGUGGGGAGCAAACAGG